UCUGGCUGAUCCUGCCAGUAGUCAUAUGCUUGUUUCAAGGACUAAGCCAUGCAUGCCUCAGAAUAACUGCACUGCAGGAGUCUGCGCAUGGCUCAUUACAUCAGACGCAAUCUGCCGCAAAAAUGUUGCGGAAACGCAUUAUUGGAUACCUUGUGCGAAACGCCAAGCUAAUACAUGAACUAAAGGGAUCGUCCCGUUCCACACGCCGUAAGUUUACUGAAAGCGUGGUGGCCGACCCUGCAGAUGAAUGAAAGUACAAACCAACGCCUCUUAAAGGGCAGUAAUACGGAGAAGUGCUGAAUCAAUUCAUCUUUGCGUAAGCUGGCCUAGCCAGCGUCUUUUGACGAACAACUGCCCUAUCAGCCAGUGAUGGCCGUGUAGUGGACUGCCAUGGCGUUGACGGGAGCGGGGGAUUAGGGUUCGAUUCCGGAGAGGGAGCCUGAGAAAUGGCUACCACUUCUACGGAGGGCAGCAGGCGCGCAAAUUGCCCAAUGCCAAAACAAAUGAUGAGGCAGCGAAAAGAAAUAGGUGCCCCAAAUACCUCGUGUGUUUGGGGCUUUCAAUGGGGGAUAUUUAAAACCAUCCAACAUCGAGUAACAAUUGGAGGACAAGUCUGGUGCCAGCACCCGCGGUAAUUCCAGCUCCAAGAGCGUAUAUUAACGCUGUUGCUGUUAAAGGGUUCGUAGUUGAACUGUGGAAUAUGACGCCGAGGCCUACCCUUUUCCCACGGUCUAGGGAAACCUCGAUCAUAUUCCGAGAACGUCAGAAACUAAGAUCACGGGAGCGUUUUUUAACAAAUGGCCGCCAUUUACGCGAGCAAUGUUCGUUGGCGGACGUCCGUGUUCAUUACUGUGACUAAAGAAGUGCGACCAAAGCAGUCCAUCGACAUGAAUUAGAAAGCAUGGGAUAACAAAGUAGCAGCCUAUGAGCUACCGUUUAGGCUUUUGUUGGUUUUAAAGGUUCGUGGGAGAUUACGGGCUGGUAAGACCGGCGUUGUGGAGUCCUCGGAUUCCCUCGUCUCCCCCUUGUGCCGGAAACGGUGCCUGGGGGCUUGCCAGAUCCAGGAAUGAAGGAGGGUUGCUCGGGGGGAAACGUACUUGGGCGUGAGAGGUGAAAUUCUUAGACCGCCCAAAGACGAACUACAGCGAAGGCAUUUUCCAAGGAUACCUUCCUCAAUCAAGAACCAAAGUGUGGGGAUCGAAGAUGAUUAGAGACCAUUGUAGUCCACACCACAAACGGUGACCCCCAUGAAUUGGGGAGUUUUUGUGGAGGCAUCUCCCGGCUUGUCCGGGCGGGUGUCCCGCAAUAACGUAUUCAACCUACGUGCACGUUCUAUCCAGCAGAGAGGAAACUCUCUGCCUUGACGGGAACAUCCUCAGCACGUUCUCUUACUGUUUCACGCGAAAGCUUUGAGGUUACAGUC
rnacentral:rRNA from 1 species